GAUGAACGCUAGCUACAGGCUUAACACAUGCAAGUCGUGGGGCAGCAUGGGGGUUGCUUGCAAUCCCCGAUGGCGACCGGCGCACGGGUGAGUAACGCGUAUCCAACCUGCCCUUCACCACGGGAUAACCCGGCGAAAGUCGGACUAAUACCGUAUGUUGUCCAUUGACGGCAUCCGAUUUGGACGAAAGGUUUGGCGGUGAAGGAUGGGGAUGCGUCCGAUUAGCUGGACGGCGGGGUGACGGCCCACCGUGGCGACGAUCGGUAGGGGUUCUGAGAGGAAGGUCCCCCACACUGGAACUGAGACACGGUCCAGACUCCUACGGGAGGCAGCAGUGAGGAAUAUUGGUCAAUGGGCGUAAGCCUGAACCAGCCAAGUAGCGUGCAGGAUGACGGCCCUAUGGGUUGUAAACUGCUUUUAUGCGGGGAUAAAGUGGCCCACGUGUGGGUUUUUGCAGGUACCGCAUGAAUAAGGACCGGCUAAUUCCGUG
rnacentral:rRNA from 1 species